rnacentral:tRNA from 1 species
CGGUGUAGCUCAGGGGUAGAGCAACUGAUUCGUAAUCAGUAGGUCAGCGGUUCAAUUCCGCUCACC